rnacentral:rRNA from 1 species
CUUGGUCAUUUAGAGGAAGUAAAAGUCGUAACAAGGUUUCCGUAGGUGAACCUGCGGAAGGAUCAUUAUUGUGCAACCGAGGUGCAAGGGCUGUCGCUGACCUUCAAGGGUUGUGCACGCCCAAAGCACUCUCACACAUCCAUCUCACCCCUUUGUGCAUCACCGCGUGGGCCCUCCUUUGCAGGGGGGCUUGCGUUUUCACAUAAAAACUCAAUACAGUGUAGAAUGUCUUUUCUUUUGCGAUCACACGCAAUCAAUACAACUUUCAACAACGGAUCUCUUGGCUCUCGCAUCGAUGAAGAACGCAGCGAAAUGCGAUACGUAAUGUGAAUUGCAGAAUUCAGUGAAUCAUCGAAUCUUUGAACGCACCUUGCGCCCCUUGGCAUUCCGAGGGGCACACCCGUUUGAGUGUCGUGAAAUCAUCAAAAACCCUUUUCUUUAAAGGAUUUUUGGACUUGGAGGUUCCAUGCUUGCUUUCGCUCUUGAAAGCGAGCUCCUCUCAAAUGAAUUAGUGGGGUCCGCUUUGCUGAUCCUUGACGUGAUAAGAUGUUUCUACGUUUUGGAUUUAGCACUGUCCGUUGGACGCCUGCUCCUAAUCGUCUCUUGGGACAUUGAUGGUGCUUCGGUCACUGCCCAUUUACAUCGGUGGAAGGCCGGGCCCACGUUUAAACCUUUGACCUCAAAUCGGGUGAGACUACCCGCUGAACUUAAGCAUAUCAAUAAGCGGAGGAA